UAACAAGAAACAAAUAAUUGUAUUUAGUUUCGACCUAAAAUUUUGAAGAUACCCUUCCUUGUUAU
rnacentral:tRNA from 1 species